rnacentral:rRNA from 1 species
CCAAUAGCGUAUAUUAAAGUUGUUGCAGUUAAAAAGCUCGUAGUUGAAUUUCGGGAUCAAAUUGUCGGUCGUGCCUCGGUACGCACUGGUAUUAUUGGUUCCUACCUUCUGAAGAACCGCGAUGUCAUUAAUUUGGUGUCGUGGGGAAUCAGGACUGUUACUUUGAAAAAAUUAGAGUGUUUAAAGCAGGCUUACGCUUGAAUACAUUAGCAUGGAAUAAUGAAAUAGGACGUUUGAUUCUAUUUUGUUGGUUUCUAGGAUUGACGUAAUGAUUAAUAGGGAUAGUUGGGGUCAUUAGUAUUCAAUUGUCAGAGGUGAAAUUCUUGGAUUUAUUGAAGACUAACUACUGCGAAAGCAUUUGCCAAGGAUGUUUUCAUUAAUCAAGAACGAAAGUUAGGGGAUCGAAGACGAUCAGACACCGUCGUAGUCUUAACCAUAAACUAUGCCGACUAGGGAUCGGAUGAUGUUAAUUUUUUAAUGACUCAUUCGGCGCCUUACA